GCAACAACAUCAAUUAAAACUUGAUUCUCACCUCAAUUCAACAACAACAUGUCACAAUUCAUCAAUUAAGCAUAAUUUCAUAACAACCCAUUUUCAUACAUUAUGAACAUGUUAUUUCAUCACCAACAAUUCAUUUAUCAUUCAAUUAACAUACUCAAACUUAUCACCAAAACAAGAGCACGAAUUUAACAACAAUUAUCAAUUCAUUCCAAUCAACCCAUUUCAUACAACAAGGAAAAUUGCUAACAAAACAAUCAUGAUUAUGAAGAACACUAACCCCCUUACCUUAGGUUAUGAUUAAUCCAAACU
rnacentral:lncRNA from 1 species